rnacentral:tRNA from 1 species
GAGGAUAUAGCUCAGUGGUAGAGUGCGUGCUUAGCAUGCAUGAGGUCCUGGGUUCAAUCCUCAGUACCUCCA